rnacentral:rRNA from 1 species
GACGAACCGUGCGAACGUUAUUCGGAAUCACUGGGCUUAAAGCGCGUGUAGGCGGAAGGGCACGUCCGUUGCUGAAAUCCCCCGGCUCAACCGGGGAACGGGCACGGAUACGACUCUUCUGGAGGGGCGUAGGGGGACCUGGAACUUCCGGUGGAGCGGUGAAAUGCGUUGAGAUCGGAAGGAACGCCCGUGGCGAAAGCGAGGUCCUGGACGCCUACUGACGCUGAGACGCGAAAGCCAGGUGAGCGAACGGG